rnacentral:rRNA from 1 species
AUUGAACGCUGGCGGCAGGCCUAACACAUGCAAGUCGAACGAGUGGCGGACGGGUGAGUAAUGUCUGGGAAACUGCCCGAUGGAGGGGGAUAACUACUGGAAACGGUAGCUAAUACCGCAUACCAUCGGAUGUGCCCAGAUGGGAUUAGCUAGUCGGUGGGGUAACGGCUCACCUAGGCGACGAUCCCUAGCUGGUCUGAGAGGAUGACAAGCCAAACUGGAAAUGAGACACGGUCCAGAGUCCUACGUGAGGCAGCAGUGGGGAAUAUGGCACAAUGGGCGCAAGCCUGAUAGAGCCAUGCCGCGUGUAUGAAGAAGGCCUUAGGGUUGUAAAGUACUUUCAGCGGGGAGGCGUUACCCGCAGAAGAAGCACCGGCUAACUCCGUGCCAGCAGCCGCGGUAAUUC